GGAAGGGGUAGAAGUGCUUGUUAUUAAAUAAUAAUUAUGUCAACAUUAUUUAUUUUUCCUUAAUCCUUUGCCUUUUGAUCUCAUUCCGAAACUCACACAGACCUUCAAAUACCUUUUUGAUCUACUGUUAAGCUUAUGUUUGGCCUCAGAUUGAAUGGGAUCUAGACAGAUCAAGCUUAUAUACCAUUCUGCCUGAGUAGUUGAGUUGACUCAGCUUGGUCUUGGCCCUAAUUGCCCCUCAUCAAAAACGAUAGGGAGCCAUUACCUAGUUCUGUUCCUACCUGCCUAAGCAGAACCAUGCAUGAUCUAGAUCUUAACUUUUAUGAUGUUGUUGUGAUUGGUCUCACAACUAUGGCCUUUCAAGAGGGAAAGAAUUAUGAGCCAAAGAUCUUGAUGUGACCAAGGACAUGGAUAAUGAACAAUAAAUCUGCAGCUUUGGUGGGAACGAUGUUUAGGAAAAGUGAAAGCAAAAACAAAGUUUGGAAUUUUUUAUACAAUUAGAAUAGAGGGUUGUGAAAAUGGCUUACAGUAAUGGUUAAGAGUGCCGAUUUUGUUAGCUUAUUUGCUUGUCCUUAGGUUAUAGAGGACAAUGAUCUUAAAAGUAGAGCAAGAUGAAAGAGGUGAGAUUUUUUUUUUAAUUUUUUUUAAAUUUUUGUUGUUAAACAUUCAUAAUUGAAUAUCUAUGCAAAUGGGCCAGUCCACAAAAUGAUCUUCUUGAUGAGGAUACUAAAAUGAUUACAUGUCUAUAUUGUAGAAGAAGGUAGAAUUACUAAUCCACAAAAAUAAGUGAGCUAUUAAAAGAAUAAGUUUUUGGUUUGUUUGUUUGGGUUUUUCUUUUCUUUUCUUGAAAUGGUUUUGUCAAUGAUUUCAAGUAUAAGAACUAUAUUGUCUAGUACAAGGAGCUUAAUGGUCAAGUGCAAAAGACAAAUAACCUCCAUUGGCAUGGUGAGGAAAACAUGUUGCCUAUUUUUGAAAACAUUUCAAUGUGAAAAUAGCACUUAAUAAGGCUUGUUUAUGGUUGCAUUUUUUUUUCUUAAGAUUUUUUUUGUGGUUCAUCUGUUUUGAGUUGGUAUCACUAUAGUGAGCAAGAUCUAUUAAUGUCCUUUGCAAAAUUGACCUGCAAUUUUAUAGAUAAGCAACACGUUUUCUUUCCUCUCAUUUUUCUUGAGAUAAAUAAUAUUGUUGUUUUUCUUUUCUGAUUUUUCAAAUUGUUACUGUAUAAGCAAUUCAUCAUGGAUAAUCUUUAUUGGUUUCUGUGCCUAAUAAUUGUUCAAAAGCUAAUGUGAGAGACCUUCGAUCUGGAUUAGUCACCGAAGUCAAUACAUCAAUUCAGGUAUCCGACUCUGAUCCUACUAUUUGUUGAUAUUAUUCCCUUUUAUAUUUUCUUAGUAGAAAAAGGAGAUACUAUUGUAUUAAACUAUUUGCUACUUUGGAUUCAUUUAGUGGUUUGAUGGCACUAAAGAAAGAAUUAAGAAGAUGUUUGAUAAGAUCGAACUUUCGGUUUCUUCAUAUGAUACUGCAUGGGUAGCAAUGGUCCCAUCUCCAAAUACCCCAGAAGCUCCUUUUUUUCCUGAGUGUGCAAAGUGGAUAGUUGAUAAUCAACUAAGUGAUGGCUCUUGGGGUCUACCUCAUCGCCAUCCAUUAUUAGUCAAGGAUGCUCUAUCAUCUACAUUAGCAUGUGUCCUUGCAUUGAAGCGAUGGGGUAUUGGUGAAAAUCAAAUUAAUAAAGGCCUCCAAUUUAUUGAGUUAAAUUCUGCUUCUUUAACUGAUCAGAAGCAACAUACACCAUUUGGAUUUGACAUAACAUUUCCCGGUAUGCUUGAGCAUGCUAAAGAUUUGGCGUUGAACCUGCCUUUGAAAUCAGAGUAUGUAGAUGCAAUGCUUUGUGGGAGAGAUUUGGAGCUUAGGAGUGGCUAUGGUGGGAACACAGAAGCAAGAAAAGCCUACUUGGCAUAUGUUUCAGAAGGACUUGGAAAAUUACAGGAUUGGAAAAUGGUCAUGAAUUAUCAACGAAAGAAUGGUUCACUGUUCAAUUCACCAUCCACCACUGCUGCUGCUUUUAGUCAUCUUCAAGAUGCUGAUUGUCUUCGUUACCUGCAAUCAGUCUUAGAGAAGUUUGGGAAUGCAGUUCCAACCAUUUAUCCUUUGGAUAUGUAUGCUCGUCUUUCUAUGGUUGACAUGCUUGAAAGGUUGGGAAUUGAUCGGCAUUUCAGGAAGGAAAUAAAAUUUAUGCUGGAUGAAACAUACGGAUACUGGCUGCAGGGGAAUGAAGAAAUAUUUCUAGAUUGUGCCACCUGUGCAAUGGCGUUUCGAAUAUUACGUGUCAAUGGAUAUGAAGUGUCUUCAGAUAUGUUAACUCAGUUCACGAAGGAAUGCUUCUUCAGUUCACUUGGAGGAUAUUUAAAGGACACAAGGGGUGCCUUGGAGUUAUUCAAAGCUUCGCAGAUAAUUUAUCCUGAUGAAUCACUUCUUGAAAAACAAAAUUCAUGGACAAAUCAUUUCCUGAAACAGGAAUUAUCCAGCGGUUCAAUUUAUGCUGACAGACUCGGUAAACAUCUUACCACAGAGGUGCAAGAUGCUCUGAAUUUUCCUUACUAUGCUGAUUUGGAACGCUUAUCUAACAGGAGGAGCAUUGAGCAUUAUACUGUAGAUGAAACAAGGAUUUUAAAAACCUCAUAUCGUUGUUCAAACAUUGGGAAUGAACAUUUUCUUAAACUGGCGGUAGAGGACUUCAACGUCUGCCAAUCGGUACACCGUGAAGAACUUGAACAUCUUGCGAGGUGGGUUAUGGAGAAAAGGUUGGACAAGCUAAAAUUUGCUAGGCAGAAGCUGGAUUAUUGUUACUUCUCCAGUGCAGCUACACUCUUCGCUCCUGAACUGUCUGAUGCCCGCAUGUCAUGGGCAAAAAAUGCUGUGCUUACUACUGUUGUUGAUGACUUCUUUGAUGUUGGAGGGUCUGAGGAGGAAUUGGUCAACCUUAUCCAAUUGAUUGAAAAGUGGGACGUAGAUGGGAGCACUCACUGUUGUUCAGAGCAUGUCGAGAUCUUGUUUUCAGCACUUCACAGCACCAUUUGUGAGAUUGGAGACAAAGCGUUCACAUGGCAAGGACGUAAAGUGACAAGUCAUAUUAUCGAGAUUGUGAGAUCAAAUCCCUUGGAUUGUUUUAUAUAUUGUAACUAUCUAUUAAGGACCUAUUGGAAACUCUGACAAAAUUACUUGGUUUGCUUGCUUUUUUGCCUUGAAAAAAGCAGGUGAACCAAACAGAUUGUUAAUGUUUAUAUAUCUGGGACUAAUGUGACUGUUCAUAACAUGUUUAUAGUUAAUUUUAUGAACCUUGGAGAAACUGCUCUGACAUGGGAAUUUAUGGGGUAGCUUAGAAACCAGAGGAGAUGAAUUCAACAUAAUCAUCUUGUACACUAGUGAUGAGCUGAUCUAUGUAUGCAUUGCAGUGGUUGGAUUUGCUGAAGUCGAUGUUUACAGAAACUCGGUGGUCAAGAAUCAAGAUGACGCCUACACUCGAUGAAUAUAUGACUAAUGGAUAUGUAUCAAUUGCUUUAGGACCAAUUGUCCUUCCAGCUCUGUACUUUGUUGGGCCAAAACUUACAGAAGAGGAAGUUAGAAACCCUGAAUUACAUGAUUUAUUUAAGGCUAUGAGUACUUGUGGGCGUCUACUCAAUGAUUGGAGAGGCUUUCAGAGAGAAUCGAAAGAAGGGAAAUUGAAUGCUGUCUCAUUGCACAUGAUUCAUGGAAGUGGUGUUGUAACUGAAGAAGAGGCCAUCAGAAAGUUAAAGGAUUUGAUUAGCAGCCACAGGAGACAACUGUUGAGACUGGUUUUGCGAGAAAACAAUAGCAUUAUCCCGAGACCAUGCAAAGAUUUGUUUUGGAAAAUGAUCAAAGUGUUGCAUUUGUUUUACAUGAAGGAUGAUGGAUUCACCUUAGAUGAGAUGAUUAAUGCUGCAAAUGCAGUAGUUGCUAAACCCAUCUCUUUUCAUGAACUAGAGAAUCUAUGGAUGGAAAAUUGAGUGCCGCUGCAAUAUCUGUGAUUCAUCACCGGUGGUGGUGGUUGUUACCAAAGCAGAAGCCACUAAGAAGAGAAGAAGAAAAGGGUGAAUGAAACUAGUUUUUGUACAGGAAAGUAACUGGUGAAGCUAGUCAUGUUAGAAAGGGGUACCCUGUGUAUCUAUUUUUCUUGGAUAUUUAAACAGUGUGAUCACAGAAACUGUCUUAAGUUAAUUGUUGGAGCCUAAAGAAAUCUAAAAAGAAAGUGGAAUCUAAAUAUUAGUAAUUUAUGCUCUUAUUCCAAAUAAAAAAUAUUUAAGAUUAUAAAAUAUUAAAAUAUUAUUGUAUAAUUAUAAAUUUUAAUAAUGUUAUUAAUUUCAAUAGUGCAUAUUUGGAAAUAGAAAUUAUUG
rnacentral:misc_RNA from 1 species